UUCGCCGCAGAUUGAAUGUGUUCACAAUGGCAUAUGCCCUUUUGAUGAGAGCCCUGUUGAUAUCGGAGCGCAAAUUCGUGCAAUCCACCGGGAGCGAUUAAUAAAAUCACGGCUCCACCUCUUGGCAUAUCCGGAUGACUUUUUGCUGGAGUCUCGAGAGAUAUAGAUUCUCGCGCGAAUCUUUAAUAUAUUUAAAUAGCCUUCUCCAGCCUUACGUAGCCAACACUACCAAUCGAUGACCUGGCCUCAUUUCACUCCAGACUAUUUGCGUAGCCCUUUUUUGCAAAUGGUAGUUUUCUCUAUAAUGUUGGAGAUGCUGAGCACAUUGGGAAAGCUACGGUGUGCUGAUCCGUGCGUAAAGUGCGUCUUGCACUGAAGCGGUUCAUGCGCUUCCCUGGACACAAACCCACGAGGGUCAUACAAAUGGAGUUCCACCAACUUGCAGGAUUUCCAAAUGUAAUUGGGUGCAUUGAUGACACACAAGUCCCCAUAACGGCCCUAUCUAUAAAUGAGGCUGAACAGGAAAGGCUAUCACAGUAUAAAUGUUCAGAUUUGUGAUGCUUCCUACAUGAUCACGAAUGUAGAGGCAAAAUGGCCUGGUUCGGUCCACGAUGCCAGAAUGUAUCGUGACUCAAAUUUGAGCAACAUCAACAGGGGCAUUCGAUGUGUAUCUCAUAUUGAUCGAGGGUAUCCAUGCCUCCCGACGCUCAUCACCCCGUACCCUAAUCCCGCUCCUGACCACAGACAACAUUUAACCUGGCACACAGCAGAACCCGCGUUAAGAUUGAAAAUACAUUCGGGAUAUUGAAGUCCAGAUACCAAUGCCUACGUCACGUGGACUAAGAGUUUGUCCGGAACGGGCAUGCGCAGUAAUUGUUGCAUGCGCCGUCCUCCACAAUAUCUCUGCGCAAAGAGAUGCCUCCCCCCUUUGACCCGUUCCUCGAGGAGGAACACAUUCCGCAAAUGGAUGUAAGAGCUGGACAAAUGAUGCGAGACCACAUUUGCAGAAAUCAUUUCAAUUUUAAAAAAAGAAAUAAACACCCCAAACACUGUU